rnacentral:rRNA from 1 species
CCUAAAGAGUAACGGAGGAGCACGAAGGUUGGCUAAUCCUGGUCGGACAUCAGGAGGUUAGUGCAAUGGCAUAAGCCAGCUUGACUGCGAGCGUGACGGCGCGAGCAGGUGCGAAAGCAGGUCAUAGUGAUCCGGUGGUUCUGAAUGGAAGGGCCAUCGCUCAACGGAUAAAAGGUACUCCGGGGAUAACAGGCUGAUACCGCCCAAGAGUUCAUAUCGACGGCGGUGUUUGGCACCUCGAUGUCGGCUCAUCACAUCCUGGGGCUGAAGUAGGUCCCAAGGGUAUGGCUGUUCGCCAUUUAAAGUGGUACGCGAGCUGGGUUUAGAACGUCGUGAGACAGUUCGGUCCCUAUCUGCCGUGGGCGCUGGAGAACUGAGGGGGGCUGCUCCUAGUACGAGAGGACCGGAGUGGACGCAUCACUGGUGUUCGGGUUGUCAUGCCAAUGGCACUGCCCGGUAGCUAAAUGCGGAAGAGAUAAGUGCUGAAAGCAUCUAAGCACGAAACUUGCCCCGAGAUGAGUUCUCCCUGACUCCUUGAGAGUCCUGAAGGAACGUUGAAGACGACGACGUUGAUAGGCCGGGUGUGUAAGCGCAGCGAUGCGUUGAGCUAACCGGUACUAAUGAACCGUGAGGCUUAACCUU